GCCGCUGCUGGCGCGGUUGCGCCGGCGCGACGCGAACGCGCAGCUGUUCGCCGCGCGGCGCGGCGACGGCUGCU
rnacentral:tRNA from 1 species